rnacentral:rRNA from 1 species
UACGGGGGGGGCUAGCGUUGUUCGGAAUUACUGGGCGUAAAGAGCGCGCAGGCGGUCGUUCAAGUCGCGUGUGAAAGCCCCCGGCUCAACUGGGGAGGGUCACGCGAUACUGAUCGACUCGAAGGCAGGAGAGGGUAGUGGAAUUCCCGGUGUAGUGGUGAAAUGCGUAGAUAUCGGGAGGAACACCAGUGGCGAAGGCGACUACCUGGCCUGUUCUUGACGCUGAGGCGCGAAAGCUAGGGGAGCAAACGGG